rnacentral:rRNA from 1 species
CGAGGGUGCAAGCGUUAUCCGGAUUCACUGGGUUUAAAGGGUGCGUAGGUGGGUUGGUAAGUCAGUGGUGAAAUCCCCGAGCUUAACUUGGGAACUGCCAUUGAUACUAUCAAUCUUGAAUACUGUGGAGGUCAGCAGAAUAUGUCAUGUAGCGGUGAAAUGCUUAGAUAUGACAUAGAAUACCAAUUGCGAAGGCAGCUGGCUACACAAAUAUUGACACUGAGGCACGAAAGCGUGGGGAUCAAACAGGAUUAGAUACCCUGGUAGUCCACGCCCUAAACGAUGGAUACUCGACAUUUGCGAUACACAGCAAGUGUCUGAGCGAAAGCAUUAAGUAUCCCACCUGGGAAGUACGAUCGCAAGAUUG